AAAUCGAAAAUGAUUUUAGAAUUUUAAGUUGAAAAUAAUUUGAAUUACGAAAAUUGAUUGAAUUUAGAAAACGAUCCUAUUCGGUUUUGGAUUCAAAUCCUAAAGCUAAAUUCCUAAGUCUAGCCCAAUUGGACAAAGCCCAAUAUUAUAAACCCAUAACCCCAAACUACCCUACUCCCUUCUCUUUCAACAAUACGUAAAACAAAAAAAAAAUAAACAACCAAACUCCCUCCUUCAAUCUCACGUAAAAAGCAAACCCUCAAGAACUCCUCCUCCCUCACGUUGCCUCCAAGCUCAGCCGCCACCACCGCCGGACCAGUCGCCGCCGCCCGCCGCCGUACUCGCCGCCAGCACAGCCACCUUGCCGUCGCCAGACGGCGACCUUUGUACGCCAACCACCACCACCGGUGCGCCGUCGUGCCCCUCCUUGCCGUCGUUCCACCGCUGCCGCGCCUGUGCUCCGCCGGCCAGCAUCUCCUUGAAUCCUUCUUGGUUAUUUCUUAAACCCUAAGUAAACUAAUUAUUUUAAUUAUAUUUUGUUAAUUUGAUUUAUGCUUUGAUUUAAUAAAUUUGUAAUUUUUAUGACUUAAUUGGAAUUUCAGAUUUAUAUAUUAUGUUUAAACAAUAUAUUUAUUUUUCAGAUUAUCUAAAUACAUUGAAAUAUUGAUUUUUGAUUAUUUAAAGUAUGAAUUUCAAGGUUUAAAUGGUUGUAAAUCAUGGUAGGACAAUGGUGGAUUAUUGAAUUUAUUGUCUCGAUGUACUAGGAAUGUAAAUUGGCCUUGGUGAAGUUUUAAACGAGUUUAUAUUGCUGAAAAUUUAAAGUACGAUGUUUGCAAAGAGUUUUCAACGAAUUUCAAUCACUAAUUCGAUAUAUAUGAUGCU